UAGCAAUAUCAUAGUGGCGCACGGGUGCGUAACACGUACGCAACCUACCUUAUACUGAGGGAUAGCCUUUCGAAAGGGAGAUUAAUACCUCAUAACACAUUGAACUGGCAUCAGUUUAUUGUUAAAGAUUUAUUGGUAUAAGAUGGGCAUGCGUCCAAUUAGUUAGUUGGCGAGGUAACGGCUCACCAAGACGAUGAUUGGUAGGGGAACUGAGAGGUUAAUCCCCCACACUGGCACUGAGAUACGGGCCAGACUCCUACGGGAGGCAGCAGUAGGGAAUAUUGGGCAAUGGAGGCAACUCUGACCCAGCCAUGCCGCGUGCAGGAAGAAGGCGUUAUGCGUUGUAAACUGCUUUUAUAUAGGAAGAAAUAGACCUUGCGAGGUAAGUUGACGGUACUAUAUGAAUAAGCACCGGCUAACUCCGUGCCAGCAGCCGCGGUAAUACGGAGGGUGCAAGCGUUAUCCGGAUUUAUUGGGUUUAAAGGGUGCGUAGGCGGUUUAUUAAGUCAGUGGUGAAAGACGGUCGCUNCACGAUUGCAGUGCCAUUGAUACUGGUAGACUUGAG
rnacentral:rRNA from 1 species